AACGGAGGCGCUCAAAGGUUCCCUCAGAAUGGUUGGAAAUCAUUCAUAGAGUGUAAAGGCAUAAGGGAGCUUGACUGCGAGACCUACAAGUCGAGCAGGGUCGAAAGACGGACUUAGUGAUCCGGUGGUUCCGCAUGGAAGGGCCAUCGCUCAACGGAUAAAAGCUACCCCGGGGAUAACAGGCUUAUCUCCCCCAAGAGUUCACAUCGACGGGGAGGUUUGGCACCUCGAUGUCGGCUCAUCGCAUCCUGGGGCUGUAGUCGGUCCCAAGGGUUGGGCUGUUCGCCCAUUAAAGCGGUACGCGAGCUGGGUUCAGAACGUCGUGAGACAGUUCGGUCCCUAUCCGUCGUGGGCGUAGGAAAUUUGAGAGGAGCUGUCCUUAGUACGAGAGGACCGGGAUGGACAUACCUCUGGUGUACCAGUUGUCGUGCCAACGGCAUAGCUGGGUAGCUAUGUAUGGACGGGAUAAGUGCUGAAAGCAUCUAAGCAUGAAGCCCCCCUCAAGAUGAGAUUUCCCAACUUCGGUUAUAAGAUCCCUCAAAGAUGAUGAGGUUAAUAGGUUCGAGGUGGAAGCGUGGUGACACGUGGAGCUGACGAAUACUAAUCGAUCGAAGACUUAAUCAAUUU
rnacentral:rRNA from 1 species